rnacentral:rRNA from 1 species
CCUUAGGUAGUAAUAGUUAUGUUCUUGAAACUUAAAAAAUUUGGCGGUAUUUUAGUCUAUUCAGAGGAACCUGUUUUAUAAUCGAUAAUCCACGAUGGACCUUACUUAAGUUUGUAAUCAGCUUAUAUAUCGUCGUUAUUAGAAUAUUUUAUUAGAAAGUUAAUUUUCAAAAUUUUAUAAAAGAAAAUAUAUCAGAUCAAGGUGUAGCUUAUGUUUAAGUAAAAAUGGGUUACAAUAAAAAUAUUUAUAUGAAUAUAAAUUUGAAAUAUUUAUUGAAGGUGGAUUUGAUAGUAAAAUUAUAAAGAUUAAUAAUUUGAUUUUAGCUCUAAAAUAUGC